CAAAGUGAGACUCUGUCUCCAAAUAAAUAAAUAAAUAAAUAAAACUUGUCACUUGCCCUCACAUAUGCCACAGGUUGCAUUUUUAAAUGCAGUGCCAGUUACUAAACAGUUUUAGAUUUAGAGGUGCUCUAUCAUCCAAGAAGCCUGGGACAGGGUGAGAAGAUGGAAAGAAUAUGGGCUUUGGGGUGCAGCAGAUGCACCUUGAACGCUGGCUCUGCUGUUUGUCAGCUGGGAAGUGACCCCUUCCCCUUGCAAAUCCUUUCUGUAAUGAGGAGGGGAAGGAAGGAAACUUUCUGCCUUGGUUUCCUCAUCUGUAAAAUACUGAAAUACUGUUUUCUUCAAAGAGCUAUGAGGAUUAAAUAAAGUUCUAUAACUUAGGACAGUGCUUGUCAGACUUGGAUGUACACACAAAUCACCCUGGGAUCGGCCAAGAUUCCAUACCGGGAACCAGCUCCCAGGUGAUGCCCAGGCUGAAGUUCAAGGACCGUGUUUGAGCAGCAAGGAUAUAGGGUGCCUGGCAUUUAGCAGAGUUCAGUAAAUAUAAUCCUCUCUUCUGUCCCCUUGGUCAUUCCUCCUCUCCACAUUCCAUGCUUAGAUUAGCUUUUAAUUUUCAUCCCAUCCCUGUGUACUAAGUGAUGAUGUAUGUGUCCAAUUAAGGUGAGCCUUGGAAGAUUUCCUUUCAUAUCCUUAAUCUGAGAAGUAACAAACCUUCUCAGCAGGGUAUAUUCUUAAAAAGGGAGAGAUGUUUUUGAAGUCCUGAAUCAAACACUAAGCUGCCAUGUUGUAGGAAUGAUAGAACUUGUGUGACUGUUUGAUCCCCGCAGUUCUGAGAGAGAUCAGCAUGGUCUACUGUGAACAUUAGGUGACAAUCGUCUGCUGGUGCAGGUUCCAUCAAAUGCAAGUUGUGGUCUCAUUAAGCAGAUGACAGCUGGGCAGCAUACAUUUGUGAAGCCACUAAAGCCUUGUGAUCGAGGGGCCAUAGGAAGCUGCAGCAGCCGAUCCCUCUGGAAGCAAUGAUGUAUGCCGUUGCCAUGAAAUGGAAAAAUCCACUCUGAUUAGGCUGAGGUUUUGUGAGUCAGAUUUGAAAAUGCUAAUAAAUGUUGACAGGAUUUACGUACUGAUUCUAUUCUUACCACACUUCAUUCUCCCACUCUUCACAAUGAAUGUUGCGCUGUUUUCUCUGAAUCUUCAUUCAAACACACUAAAAAAAAAAACCUCAAAUACAUUCAGAUACAUAUUCAGCUUCAAUUUGUGUUCUUAUUUCUAUAAUGCCUUUUUUCUGCUAAAUUUUUCUUAAAGGAUCAAAAUAAGUUGAGUAUUGUCUGUAAAUCGGACAUUUAUUAAUAAUUAUAGGUAGCUGUAGCUAGCACAGCUUAAUCAUGUGUUUUAUCUGAGCUUUGACUUAUAGCUGUCUUGAAGUCUAUAAAACAGCUUGUUAAGAUGUCUGGAGCAUCUUAAGAGAAACGUAAGAGUAGUCUUUGUUUACUUCAUUUUAUUUGCCAUGAUACAUUUUGGUUUUUAAGCUGAUUUUGUUAGCAGCUCAAUUAAAUAUAGUUCAAUCCAUCUUUUUGGAGUAUCCAAUAGGAAUUUUCCUGUAUUUUUUUUAAACCAAAUUCCUGAUUUACAGAACUUUGAAAUAUUUUUUAUUUUCAUUUUUUUAUGUUGUAAAGAACACAACCUCUUUACUUCUGCUUGAGAUACAAAUGUUCGGUUUGGUUGAUGAGAAUGAGCCAAGUACUGGAGAAGACAACAGCUAGCUGUUCUGUUUUUUCCAGUGAACUGCCGAUGAAGGAAGAGGCUAAGGAGGACCUGGACUGCUUCAGUCCGCUGAUAAUCCAGACUAUCAGAUCUCCAGCCUGGUACUUCUUGAGCAGGACUGGCCCAUACGGCAGUAUGUGUUGACGGUUGAAGAUGGCAGAUACGGAGAAUGCAGCAUGUCUGUGGAGUUCACUCUGAUGUCUCCACAUGUCCAACAAAAUUCCAUCCCUGGUGGGCACUGGGCGUGCGAUCAGGCUGCUGGCCCACUUGUGUGGGUGGCCACGGUGCUUCCCCGAUUCUGCUGCGCUGCCUCGGCGGGCCGGUAGGCCUCGCUCCUCCGGAAGGCGGCGGGGCGGGCCGCUGGCAGCUUGCCGGCCAGCCGUGACUGGUUUCCUCCGGUCCUGGCCUGCCCAGCAGAGGCCCCCGCGGGCACAGGCGCCGUGUGACGGGCUCUGCGGUAACUCUCGCGCCCGCGGGGCGACCGGCGCCCGGGUUCCUCAGCAAGUGGCGGGCAACCGUUUCGGGGUUCGGCUCCCGUUGGACACUGUUCUUCAGCUCCACCUCGAGGUGACGGCCCCUCAGAAAUUUCCCCGUCGCCUCACGCGCCUCGGUCUGGGUCUUCUCGCCGUUUCCUUCUCCUCUCAGCGAGUUCUCCCUUUCCAGCAGCCUAUAGGUGGCCUGAAGCCCAGAGAGGGUCAAAUUCAGCCGAGCCCUACUGCCCCUACUCUCUGAGCCAGUGGACGUGCUUUGUCUAGAAAGUUCCCAAGCCAAGCCAAGGAAGUGGUGUGGAUUUCCUCCUAUGGCUCUGCUAAAAAUAAAACAUUGGCUGGUGAAAAUAAAGUCUUGCAAAGAAGGCCCUUUUGUCUACUUGUCUUGGUAGGAAACAUUGCAAAUUCUGAUGGCUUGAUUGCUUCUUUAUGUAAGUAAUUAAAAACAUUUGCAUUUGAAAUGUUUGAGAUUAAUUGCAAGUGUGGCUGUCAAUCA